GAUGAACGCUAGCGGCAGGCUUAAUACAUGCAAGUCGAGGGGCAGCAGCUUUGUAGCAAUACAGAGGCUGGCGACCGGCAAACGGGUGCGGAACACGUACAGAACCUUCCUUCGAGCGGGGAAUAGCCCAGAGAAAUUUGGAUUAAUACCCCAUAGCAUAUUGAUAAGGCAUCUUAUUAAUAUUAAAGAAUCUAUCACUUGAAGAUGGCUGUGCGGCUGAUUAGGUAGUUGGCGGGGUAACGGCCCACCAAGCCUACCGAUCAGUAACUGGUGUGAGAGCACGACCAGUCACACGGGCACUGAGACACGGCCCGACUCCUACGGGAGGCAGCAGUAAGGAAUAUUGGUCAAUGACGCAAGUCUGAACCAGCCAUGCCGCGUGGAGGAUGAAGGUCCUCUGA
rnacentral:rRNA from 1 species